rnacentral:rRNA from 1 species
GAACGCUGGCGGCGUGCUUAACACAUGCAAGUCGAACGGAAAGGCCCUGCUUGCAGGGUGCUCGAGUGGCGAACGGGUGAGUAACACGUGGGUGAUCUGCCCCUUACUUUGGGAUAAGCCUGGGAAACUGGGUCUAAUACUGGAUAGGACCAUGCUGUAGGUGGUGUGGUGGAAAGAUUAGUUUCGGUAAGGGAUGAGCUCGCGGCCUAUCAGCUUGUUGGUGGGGUAAUGGCCUACCAAGGCGUCGACGGGUAGCCGGCCUGAGAGGGUGGACGGCCACAUUGGGACUGAGAUACGGCCCAGACUCCUACGGGAGGCAGCAGUGGGGAAUAUUGCACAAUGGGCGCAAGCCUGAUGCAGCGACGCCGCGUGGGGGAUGACGGCCUUCGGGUUGUAAACUCCUUUCAGCCAUGACGAAGCCCUUGUGGUGACGGUAGUGGUAGAAGAAGCACCGGCUAACUACGUG